rnacentral:lncRNA from 1 species
UGGAUUCUCAAAAAUUAGAGUUCUUCUGAUUCCCAAUCUGUCAGAAUUGACGACAUCGGAAGGUGGCAAAAUUGAGUUCGACGAGGAGCUAGAAUCGAUACACUCACCGGAGAAAUUGGAUCUUGUGAGAGAACAUCUAUCCAACAUCCUCAGACGUGAUGAGACGACAACAACCCAAAACAGAAAAACCUUCAGCAGACUCCAACUCGGACGGUUAUACGCCUCAUCGAUCAUGUACGGUUACUUUCUAGAGGCGGCAUCGGCUCGACAUCGAUUGGAAGAGAGAGUUUACGAAUCAGAUCACAAGAAAGACCAACCACUCG